rnacentral:lncRNA from 1 species
UACCAUAUUGCAUUUAAGUUAUUUAUGCCACACAUUUUUUCCAUUCUUCUAUGCUCAUGUAAAGAUUGUGUACGUCUGCAACUCACUGAGUUCAACUGCGCCUUCAUGGUAUGCUUUCUAUUCCGUAAGCGGUAAGCCUAUCCAUUUGAAGUUCCGAAUAGGAUCUACUUCACUUCUAAUCAUAGGCGACGCCACCUGACUUUCAGUUUGAGUAGCUUCUUCAAGGUCGUCAAAAAAGUCUGCUUCAAACAACCCUCGCAGACUUUGGAUAGAUCUGAGGGAAGCAAAUUCAUUAUACAACAGUGCAAACAAAGGAAAGUUCCAUGAUCAUGUUCAGUUAACCAUGAAACAACUUUUAGUUCUAAGCUCAAGGUUACUUAAUUUAAGUUUUACAUGACCGGUCGGACUAUUGCUCGCUAUAACUGAAACUGUGAGGAAUAGAGGCACCAGAAGAUGACAACCAAAGUAGCAGGGUUGUUUUAAGGGUGUCGAGGCAUUACAUACCUCUGGUGUAGCCAUCGUUGGCGAUAUUGGACAGCUCGACAUAUGUUCUUCUACCUCCGCGAACUCGAAGCUUCUUCCUCCGGCGAACUUGAAGCCAACAUGAUGCUUUUCUGGUCCAACUACUCCAGGAUUUGAUGGAUUUUCUGGUCCAACUAUGCAACCUGAUGGAGACGCCAGCCGAGGAUCCUCAGCGAAGUCCAGCCCUGGUCGAGCAAUCCAUUGUUUUGUGUUGGAGAAGGACACCAUCACGAAUUCAAUCCAAGUCAGACAUGGCAACAGGAGAAGGCUCUGCCAGUGGCGAACAGGUCACAGCGGCCUGCUCUCAGCCGGCACUGGUGGACGGCGAACUCACCCUGCCUCCUCGAUGCAUGCUCUCCCUCCACCAGCAACGCUUGCGGUCGCGCCGCUCCGUCCUCGCCUCUCCUCGUUCCUGCUUCCGACCACAUCGGCAGCCCUGGUUUGCAGCCCCUCAUCGUCCUCUGCUCCGGCCGCACCUUGGCUAACCGAAGCAUGUGCAUCCUUGCGUUCUCGUCGUCCUCNN